GGCUGGUCCAAUGGUAGUGGGUUAUCAGAACUUAUUAACAUUAGUGUCACUAUGGUUGGUAUUCAACCCCCCACUGCUAAAUUUGACUGGCUUUAA
rnacentral:Y_RNA from 1 species